rnacentral:rRNA from 1 species
AUUGAACGCUGGCGGCAGGCUUAACACAUGCAAGUCGAGCGAGCGGCGGACGGGUGAGUAAUGUCUGGGAAACUGCCCAAUGGAGGGGGAUAACUACUGGAAACGGUAGCUAAUACCGCAUACCAUCAGAUGUGCCCAGAUGGGUUUCGCUAGUAGGUGGGGUAAUGGCUCACCUAGGCGAAGAUCCCUAGCUGGUCUGAGAGGAUGACCAGCCACACUGGAACUGAGACACGGUCCAGACUCCUACGGGAGGCAGCAGUGGGGAAUAUUGCACAAUGGGCGAAAGCCGGAUGCAGCCAUGCCGCGUGUGUGAAGAAGGCCGUAGGGUUGUAAAGCACUUUCAGUGGGGAGGCGUUACCGACAGAAGAAGCACCGGCUAACUCCGUGCCAGCAGCCGCGGUAAUAC